rnacentral:rRNA from 1 species
UACGGCGGGUGCAAGCGUUGUUCGGAAUCCCUGGGCGUAAAGCGCGUGUAGGCGGCCUCGUAAGUCUGGUGUGAAAGCCCGGGGCUUCCCCCCGGAAGUGCACUGGAAACUGCGAGACUUGAGUACCGGAGAGGAGGGUGGAAUUCCUGGUGUAGCGGUGAAAUGCGUAGAUAUCAGGAGGAACACCGGUGGCGAAGGCGGCCCUCUGGACGGAUACUGACGCUGAGACGCGAAAGCGUGGGGAGCAAACAGG